GACGAACGCUGGCGGCGUGCUUAACACAUGCAAGUCGAACGGAAAGGCCCUGCUUUUGUGGGUGCUCGAGUGGCGAACGGCUGACUAACACGUGAGUCACCUGCCCUUGCCUUUGGGAUAACUUCAGGAAACUGGGGCUAAUACCGGUUCGGCGCUCCUCCUGCGUGGUGGGGGUUGGAAAGUUUCGGCGGUUGGGGAUGGACUCGCGGCUUAUCAGCUUGUUUGUUGGGUAGUGGCUUACCAAGGCAUUGACGGGUAGCCGGCCUGAGAGGGUGACCGGCCACAAUGGGACUGAGAGACGGACCAGACGCCUACGGGAGGCAGCAGUGGGGAAUAUGGCACAAUGGGCGGAAGCCUGAUGCAGCAACGCCGCGGGCGGGAUGACGGCCUUCGGGUUGUAAACCGCUUUCGCCUGUGACGAAGCGUGAGUGACGGUAAUGGGUAAAGAAGCACCGGCUAACUACGUG
rnacentral:rRNA from 1 species